rnacentral:rRNA from 1 species
UACCUGCAGCUCAAGUGGUGGCCGUUAUUAUUGGGCCUAAAACGUCCGUAGCCGGUUUAUUAAAUGGCCUGGGUAAAUCGGGCCGCUUAACGGUUCGACUUCCGGGUAGACUGAUAGACUUGGGACCGGGAGAGGCUAGAGGUACUCCUGGGGUAGAGGUGAAAUUCUGUAAUCCUAGGGGGACCACCAGUGGCGAAGGCGUCUAGCUAGAACGGGUCUGACGGUGAGGGACGAAGCCCUGGGGCGCAAACCGGAUUAGAUACCCGGGUAGUCCAGGGUGUAAACGCUGCUUGCUUGAUGUUAGUCGGGCUCCGAGCCCGAUUAGUGUCGGAGAGAAGUUGUUAAGCAAGCUGCCUGGGAAGUACGGCCGCAAGACUGAAACUUAAAGGAAUUGGCGGGGAGCACAGCAACGGGUGGAGCGUGCGGUUU